rfam:Biomphalaria glabrata isolate BB02 unplaced genomic scaffold LGTN_random_Scaffold253, whole genome shotgun sequence.
GCCCCGGUGGCACAAUCGGUUAGCGCGCCGUACUUAUAGACAGUACCUUCCCCAUGAGGUCAUGGGAUAAGUCAUGCGGAGGUUGUGAGUUCGAUCCUCACCCGGGGCA